rnacentral:rRNA from 1 species
CCUACGGGAGGCAGCAGUGGGGAAUAUUGGACAAUGGGCGCAAGCCUGAUCCAGCCAUGCCGCGUGAGUGAUGAAGGCCCUAGGGUUGUAAAGCUCUUUCACCGGUGAAGAUAAUGACGGUAACCGGAGAAGAAGCCCCGGCUAACUUCGUGCCAGCAGCCGCGGUAAUACGAAGGGGGCUAGCGUUGUUCGGAUUUACUGGGCGUAAAGCGCACGUAGGCGGACUAUUAAGUCAGGGGUGAAAUCCCGGGGCUCAACCCCGCAACUGCCUUUGAUACUGUUGGUCUUGAGUUCGAAAGAGGUGAGUGAAAUUCCGAGUGGAGAGGGAAAAUUCGUAGAUAUUCGGAGGAACACCAGGGGCGAGGGCGGCUCACGG